rnacentral:lncRNA from 1 species
CCACAUAGAAAAUAUAAAUAUUCUAGAAAAAAUGUCAGUAAGCAGAACUCAGUAACUGUAGUUUCUGAAUAAACUGUACAUUUAUUGAGUUAUUGAUAUGUUCUGGAUUUUCAGAGAGGGGUACAAUCUGUUUUAAUGCUUUGCAUUGCAAUUUCAUAAUAAUUGGGAAAUAGUUUGUAGAUUUUUUUUUUUAAGAGAAAAGCAUUUUUAUUGUUUUCAGGAACACUGUAGUAAUUUGAAUCAAUUGGUGGCUUACAGCUUCAAAAAAGGCCAUUCUUCAUCUACUGUAAUGAACGGAUAAGUAUGAUAAUCCAAAUUAUGUAUUGAAUAGUAUAUAAUUUGCAGCAUCUAUCUGCACAAUAGCAAUUUAAACAGUCCUUUUUCUUCCUAAUUUUUUGCUACAUUAUUUUAAAAUUUAUAUCUAAUAAAAAAUACAAAGUUC